rnacentral:lncRNA from 11 species
GACUAUCCAGUUUGGCUAAUCCCUACUGGAUGGUCACUCUUACCUGGUUGUCUUUUGUCACCAUGGCAGGUGGUCAUGGGGUUGAUGAUGAUGUCAGCAAAGGUGCCCUCCAAAGGCCACAAACUUUCCAGGAUUCCUUGGCUGCCUUGCGACAGAAACAGCAAAGCUCUGAGGCCUUUGGCUGAAGUUUCAGGACCUUACUAUGCCUCUUUGGAUUUCCAGGGGAGAGGCAAGCAUGAUAUCAUCGUCAUCAUCAUCAUCAUCAUCAUCAUCAUCAUCAUCUGUUUCUAGAUAUAUGACUAUUGCCUUACUGUCUUGAAAGGUAGCAGUGCUUCUACAGGCAUUUUAGGUGCUACAUUGCUGUCUGCAAAGUAUUGAAAAUCAUAUUCUUGUUACUCACUAUCUGCACUCAAAAAUAUUUCAUUUUUUUCUCUGUACAAUAUACAAGGGACAACAGGCCUUAUGAAUUCUAUCCAUAUACAUUAUAUCUACUUUUCUCAUAGAAUUCUCUAAGCAUGAAAACUGUAAAAAAUCAAAUAAGUUACGAGGUGCAGUAAGGUAACAAUCAUUUUAAUAUCAGAAUAGUGAAACUGUAUAUUAAAAUAAAAUCUAUAUUCGAAUGAAACUCUGCAAUGUUUGUCAGCUAAGCAAAGGGGCAAGGAUGUGAUGUUUAGAUCUGGGGUUGAUGCCUUGCCAUUGUAACAGAUGGGUACAAAGUACCAAGUAGCCAACAGACCCUAUAUGUGCAAGAAGUGUGAACACUGAGGGCACAGUUCCCAGCUUGUAUUGCCAUAUGGCUUUACAACUGUAAUUGUUAUUGUAUGAACAUAAAGGGUCUAGAGUGGACUGAAAUGUUUUUUUGAGACCAUGAAUGAAUGAAUGAAUUAAAGAUAAAAUUAAAUCCUUAUGGGUGAGAAAAAGCAAGAAAUAACCCAUAGCAGAAAACCCAGAAUUAGGAAAAUAAGGGUGGUGGUUAUAAACCUUUGUUUAUAUAUUUAAGGUAUUUUAUCCUAAUUUCCUGUCCAGCAAUAACCUACAAAACACUAAAAUUCAAAAAGCAUCCCUGUCUUCUUUGUGUGUGCAUGGAUGUCCCAUACUAAUGAUCAAUUUUAAAGACACUGAAAAAGUGAUUAAUUUCUGAUGAUUUUGUAUUGGUUUAUGUUUUUGAAAACACAUUCCACAAAGUGCAAUGAACACUCACUUUCAAUGGACUCCACAUAUUAUGGGUACUAAGAAUAAAAUGGUUUAAAAGAGUAGCAGACAGCCUUGAUCCUUCAUAAUGGUCUGGAACACCUUGUCAAGAUUGUUUGCAGUAAAGGCACAUGAAAAUUGGGAAUACCGAUAGCAGAGGACACUUGUCCAUACCUUUCCCUAUGGAGAUUCUCUUUC